rnacentral:lncRNA from 1 species
CACUAGAAUUUAUUCUUCCUUAAAUUGUAUUUGGUUUUCUUAUCAAUUAGAAACAACAAAUAGUAGCUUCCAUUGUAAUUGUAAAGGAAAUUCUAUUUUGCAUACUGAUGGUUGUUCCUUUAAUGAAAUUUAAACCAAGCGAAGGAGUGCAAAAAAUAGAUCAAAAGAGUUUUUUUUUUUUUUCCACUCCUUAAACUUCUUGCACCCCUCUGAGUUUUCAAAAAUGCCCUGCUCGAUUUUUAGAAGACAACUUCAAGAUCUUCAUUAGACCAAUUCACCCCAACACCACUCGGAGUCGGGAUCUUGAUUUUUUUUUAUUAUGUCCCCCAAUUUUUUUAUUACGGCAAUACCCCCAAUCCAAAAAUAUUUCUGU